CGAGCCGGGCGGACGGCCGCGUGGAGAUCCCCGGAUCUCCCCGAGGAACGUCCGGGCUCCACAGAGCAGGGUGGUGGGUAACGCCCACCCGGGGUGACCCGCGGACAGUGCCACAGAAAACAGACCGCCGGGGGCCUCGGCCCUCGGUAAGGGUGAAACGGUGGUGUAAGAGACCACCAGCGCCUGAGGUGACUCAGGCGGCUAGGUAAACCCCACCCGGAGCAAGGUCAAGAGGGGCCGCCGUCAGGCGGCCCUGCGCGGACGUUCGAGGGCUGCUCGCCCGAGUCCGCGGGUAGACCGCUCGAGGCCGGCAGCAAUGCCGGUCCUAGAUGGAUGGCCGUCUCCCCGGAGGCCGCGAGGCCCCCGGGCGACAGGACCCGGCGUACAGCCCGACUCGUCUG
rnacentral:RNase_P_RNA from 1 species